rnacentral:rRNA from 1 species
GAUGAACGCUGGCGGCGUGCCUAAUACAUGCAAGUCGAGCGAACAGACGAGGAGCUUGCUCCUCUGACGUUAGCGGCGGACGGGUGAGUAACACGUGGAUAACCUACCUAUAGGACUGGGAUAACUUCGGGAAACCGGAGCUAAUACCGGAUAAUAUAUUGAACCGCAUGGUUCAAUAGUGAAAGACGGUUUUGCUGUCACUUAUAGAUGGAUCCGCGCCGCAUUAGCUAGUUGGUAAGGUAACGGCUUACCAAGGCGACGAUGCGUAGCCGACCUGAGAGGGUGAUCGGCCACACUGGAACUGAGACACGGUCCAGACUCCUACGGGAGGCAGCAGUAGGGAAUCUUCCGCAAUGGGCGAAAGCCUGACGGAGCAACGCCGCGUGAGUGAUGAAGGUCUUCGGAUCGUAAAACUCUGUUAUUAGGGAAGAACAAAUGUGUAAGUAACUAUGCACGUCUUGACGGUACCUAAUCAGAAAGCCACGGCUAACUACGU